AUGGAGUACGACGAUCGGUACGCACCGUUCUUCAGGAGAGCCCGACUAUUGGGUUUCAUCCUGCAGUUCAAGCGUAAGCCACCGACGCUCGUUCACUCAGCUCUCACGGCUUUGAUCGACCGGUGGCGGCCAGAGACACACAGCUUUCAUCUUUCAUGUGGGGAGAUGACCGUGACCCUCGAGAAUUGGGCGAUGAUUAUGGCACUACCGCUGGAGGGUCGUCCUCUCACAGGAAGAGUGGAGAGGGCGAACUGGCCUAAGAGGGUUGUCAGCCUCAUCGGCGACUGCCCCCCUCCCCCCCCCUCGCUAAGAGCAACCGGACUUCCGGCAUACCGCUGUCAUGGCUCCUCGAGCACCGGAGCAAGUGCCCGGAAGAUGCCGAGCCCCGGGUGCCCCGAAGAUGCCGAGCCCCAAGUGCUCGAAAAUCUAUCCACGACAACAAAUAUGCUAUCCCUCCCCUUAUUAGUUCGAGGUAAACCUAAAACAAAGUCCAUAGAUAUAUCCUCCCAAGGAACACUAGGUACAGGCAAAGACAUAUAUAAACCAUGA
rnacentral:rRNA from 1 species